rnacentral:rRNA from 1 species
UACGGAGGGUGCGAGCGUUGUUCGGAAUCAUUGGGCGUAAAGCGCGUGUAGGCGGCUUGGUAAGUCGGGUGUGAAAUCCCGGGGCCCAACCCCGGAACUGCAUUCGAAACUGCCUCGCUAGAGUCCCGGAGAGGAAGGCGGAAUUCCCGGUGUAGAGGUGAAAUUCGUAGAUAUCGGGAGGAACACCAGCGGCGAAGGCGGCCUUCUGGACGGUGACUGACGCUGAGACGCGAAAGCGUGGGGAGCAAACAGG